rnacentral:misc_RNA from 1 species
GUAAAAAUCCAGGGGCAGAACAAGGAGAUGUUGGCGGCCGCCUGUCAGAUGUUCCUGGGGAAGACGGAGGCUGAGAUUGCCCACAUUGCCCUGGAGACGUUAGAGGGCCACCAGAGGGCCAUCAUGGCCCACAUGACUGUGGAGGAGAUCUAUAAGGACAGGCAGAAAUUCUCAGAACAGGUUUUCAAAGUGGCCUCCUCAGACCUGGUCAACAUGGGCAUCAGUGUGGUUAGCUACACUCUGAAGGACAUUCACGAUGACCAGGACUAUUUGCACUCUUUGGGGAAGGCUCGAACAGCUCAAGUCCAAAAAGAUGCACGGAUUGGAGAAGCAGAGGCCAAGAGAGAUGCUGGGAUCCGGGAAGCUAAAGCCAAGCAGGAAAAGGUGUCUGCUCAGUACCUGAGUGAGAUCGAGAUGGCCAAGGCACAGAGAGAUUACGAACUGAAGAAGGCCGCCUAUGACAUCGAGGUCAACACCCGCCGAGCACAGGCUGACCUGGCCUAUCAGCUUCAG